UGUCUGCUCUUUCAGGUCUUGGAGCUGGAGGCCUUGGAGGUCCAGGGCUGGUAGUGAACCCCGGCCUGGGUGCUGAUGCCAAGUCUAGAAAAUAUGGGGCAGGUGGAGUUCUUGGAGCUGCCGGAUCCUUGCCUUACGGUGGCCAGCCUGUGGUCUCCGCUGGACUUGGCCCUCAAGGCAAGGCUGGUAGUUAUGGUGGAGCUACAUAUGGAGGAAUACCAACCCUUGGGCCAGACACUUCUUUGGGUGGUACAGGUGGAGCAAUGGAGCCAUUAGCAGGUAAUAUUGUGGAGUUUUUGGGAAAUAUAUUUCAAGUCAUUUUUUUCCGAUAACAAAAUGUUACUGCCAUAGGCGGAGCUGUAGGCCAGAUUCCUUACAGUGC
rnacentral:lncRNA from 1 species